GAAGCAAUGAGAAGCAUUCAGGUAGGGCUUCUCUGUGUGCAGGACCACACAAUGGACCGACCCAGCAUGUCAUCCAUAGUUCUGAUGCUGAGUGGCGACUUACAGAUCUCUGACAGGAAAAGGGAUUCAUUGAACAAAGGCAAUUAUUCAAGUGAACCUCUGAGAAUCUCUCAGUAUUCAAGUGAAUCCCUGAGAAUCAAGUUGACCUGUAUUUCGAAUAAGCGUGUCCAGGUUAGUUGGCGCGGCAUUUUCGGUACGAGCCAUAAGUUUUGUACCCCUUGACAGGGACUUGAUGACCACCAGCGGGAAGAUUGCCCUGAAACAAUUAGUUAUCUUUUGAAUGACAAAAGACUAAGCAACUCCUGGGAGGUUACAUGCGACCGACUAACCAGCCUUUCGAAAGACUUCUAGC